ACGCUCGACACCUACGGGGGCAGCAGUAGGGAAUCUUCCACAAUGGGCGCAAGCCUGAUGGAGCAACACCGCGUGAGUGAAGAAGGGUUUCGGCUCGUAAAGCUCUGUUGUUGGAGAAGAACGUGCGUGAGAGUAACUGUUCACGCAGUGACGGUAUCCAACCAGAAAGUCACGGCUAACUACGUGCCGGCAGCCGCGGUAAUCUGAGCGGGCUGGCAAGGC
rnacentral:rRNA from 1 species